GACGAACGCUGGCGGCGUGCUUAACACAUGCAAGUCGAACGGAAAGGCCCUGCUUUUGUGGGGUGCUCGAGUGGCGAACGGGUGAGUAACACGUGAGUAACCUGCCCUUGACUUUGGGAUAACUUCAGGAAACUGGGGCUAAUACCGGAUAGGAGCUCCUGCUGCAUGGUGGGGGUUGGAAAGUUUCGGCGGUUGGGGAUGGACCCGCGGCUUAUCAGCUUGUUGGUGGGGUAGUGGCUUACCAAGGCUUUGACGGGUAGCCGGCCUGAGAGGGUGACCGGCCACAUUGGGACUGAGAUACGGCCCAGACUCCUACGGGAGGCAGCAGUGGGGAAUAUUGCACAAUGGGCGGAAGCCUGAUGCAGCAACGCCGCGUGCGGGAUGACGGCCUGCGGGUUGUAAACCGCUUUCGCCUGUGACGAAGCGUGAGUGACGGUAAUGGGUAAAGAAGCACCGGCUAACUACGUG
rnacentral:rRNA from 1 species